CUGGACUUAAGCAUAUCACUAAGCGGAGGAAAAGAAACUAACUAGGAUUCCCCCAGUAACUGCGAGUGAAGAGGGAAGAGCUCAUCAUUGGAAUCUGGCGGUGUUGCACCGUCCGAGUUGUAGAUGAGGAGUGGUUCAUCUGGACUGCAUGGCGUCCAAGUACAAUAGGCCGUCAGUGGGACAUCAUAGAGGGUGACAAUCCCGUCCUUGAUGCCAAUGUGCAAGUCCAUUACGAUGGCUAUCUCAGAGAGUCGAGCAGUUUGGGAUUUGCUGCUUAAACAUGGGAGGUAGAUUCCUUCUAAAGCUAAAUACAGGCAAGAGACCGAUAGAGAACAAGUACCGCAAGGGAAAGAUGAAAUAGCACUCUGUGAAGGGAGUCAAAAGGCGUGAAAUUGUUGCGAGAGAAGCGAUUCAAGUCAGCGUAGCUAGGCCCAUUAAGCCUCUUUGCGCUUUGGACUAGCUUUGCCAGCGGUCUUGUCCUUAGAGACUUGACUUGUAUGUCCAGCCUGGUAUGCACAGGUAGCCCCUCCGGGGGUCAGUGACAUGGCUGGUGGAAUGGCUUGCAAUCGACCCGUCUUGAAACACGGACCAAGGAGUCUAACAUGUAUGCGAGUAUAAGGGUGGCAAACCCGUAUGCGCAAUGAAAGUGAUUUUCGGUGAUUGAGAAUGGCCUGAUGACCAGACAAGCAAUAUAUGUCCCUCGUACGGCCAUUGCCCAAGUUCCGUGGUAGAUCCCACGAACAUGGAGUUGGAGCAUACAUGCUAGGACCCGAAAGAUGGUGAACUAUGCCUGGACAAAGCGAAGCCAAAGGAAACUCUGGUGGAGGCUUGUAGCGAUUCUGACGUGCAAAUCGAUCGUCUGAUCUGGGUAUAGGGGCGAAAGACUAAUCGAACC
rnacentral:rRNA from 1 species